rnacentral:rRNA from 1 species
UGGGGAAUUUUGCACAAUGGGGGAAACCCUGAUGCAGCGACGCCGCGUGAUUUAGAAGGCCUUCGGGUUGCAAAAAUCUUUUCUAUGGGAAGAAAAUGACAGUACCAUAGGAAUAAGGACCGGCUAAUUACGUGCCAGCAGCCGCGGUAAUACGUAAGGUCCGAGCGUUGUCCGGAAUCAUUGGGCGUAAAGGGUACGUAGGCGGGUAAGCAAGUUAGAAGUGAAAUCCUAUAGCUCAACUAUAGUAAGCUUUUAAAACUGCUCAUCUUGAGGUAUGGAAGGGAAAGUGGAAUUCCUAGUGUAGCGGUGAAAUGCGCAGAUAUUAGGAGGAAUACCGGUGGCGAAGGCGACUUUCUGGCCAUAACCUGACGCUGAGGUACGAAAGCGUGGGUAGCAAACAGG